CCUACGGGGGGCUGCAGUGGGGAAUAUUGGACAAUGGGGGGAACCCUGAUCCAGCCAUGCCGCGUGUGUGAAGAAGGCCCUCGGGUUGUAAAGCACUUUCAGUGAGGAAGAACGCCUGGUGGUUAAUACCCAUCAGGAAAGACAUCACUCACAGAAGAAGCACCGGCUAACUCCGUGCCAGCAGCCGCGGUAAUACGGAGGGUGCGAGCGUUAAUCGGAAUUACUGGGCGUAAAGCGCGCGUAGGUGGCUUGAUAAGCCGGUUGUGAAAGCCCCGGGCUCAACCUGGGAACGGCAUCCGGAACUGUCAAGCUAGAGUGCAGGAGAGGAAGGUAGAAUUCCCGGUGUAGCGGUGAAAUGCGUAGAGAUCGGGAGGAAUACCAGGGGCGAAGGCGGCCUUCUGGACUGACACUGACACUGAGGUGCGAAAGCGUGGGUAGCAAACAGGAUUAGAUACCCCGGGUAGUC
rnacentral:rRNA from 1 species